GCCAUUCUUCAAUGAUCUCUGGAUAUCUAGAAGUCUACUGGCCCGCCAAGUUCAACCUGCCCUCUCUUAUUUUCCUAUUGAUGAUACCAAAAUCCAUUCAGUUAUAUGGACUACAGAAUUGAAGUCUCUCUGAGUCCCACAUCAGACAUGACCAGAUUCCAUUGGAUAUUUCUUGGCCAUCCUUUAAUAGGCUGUUGUUUUCUUUCCCACUACUACCAUCUUAGAAGGAACUCUUGACAUUGGAAUACUAUAGAGGAUUCAGAAGAAUAAAUCUCAACUGACAAAAUGCUGAACGUAGGUA
rnacentral:lncRNA from 1 species